GCGCCGGUGGUGUAAGGCAAAUAUCGCUGCCCGGAAAGCAGAAGAUGCGGGUUCGAGUCCCGCCUGGCGCA
rnacentral:tRNA from 1 species